GAUGAACGCUGGCGGCGUGCUUAACACAUGCAAGUCGAACGGGAAGUGGUGUUUCCCGUGGCGAACGGGUGAGUAACGCGUAAGAACCUGCCCUUGGGAGGGGAACAACAACUGGAAACGGUUGCUAAUACCCCGUAGGCUGAGGAGCAAAAGGAGAAAUCCGCCCAAGGAGGGGCUCGCGUCUGAUUAGCUAGUUGGUGAGGUAAUAGCUUACCAAGGCGAUGAUCAGUAGCUGGUCCGAGAGGAUGAUCAGCCACACUGGGACUGAGACACGGCCCAGACUCCUACGGGAGGCAGCAGUGGGGAAUUUUCCGCAAUGGGCGAAAGCCUGACGGAGCAAUGCCGCGUGGAGGUGGAAGGCCUACGGGUCGUCAACUUCUUUUCUCGGAGAAGAAACAAUGACGGUAUCUGAGGAAUAAGCAUCGGCUAACUCUGUG
rnacentral:rRNA from 1 species